UACGGGGGGGGCAAGCGUUGUUCGGAAUUACUGGGCGUAAAGGGCCCGUAGGCGGCCAACUAAGUCAGACGUGAAAUCCCUCGGCUUAACCGGGGAACUGCGUCUGAUACUGGAUGGCUUGAGUGUGGGAGAGGAAUGCGGAAUUCCAGGUGUAGCGGUGAAAUGCGUAGAUAUCUGGAGGAACACCGGUGGCGAAGGCGGCAUUCUGGACCAUUACUGACGCUGAGGAGCGAAAGCCAGGGGAGCAAACGGGG
rnacentral:rRNA from 1 species